rnacentral:lncRNA from 1 species
UUUUUCAUCCAAAAUCGUUUUUGUUAAGUUUGUUUUCAAAGUUUAUGUUUUAACUUUCAAUUUCGUCAAAACAAAAUCCCCAUUCAUUAAGUCCUGUUUUUAGAGUCAAAACCUGUUUCCUUUAAGUCUUUUGAGUCUUUGAAGUUCUAUUUUCGUCCAAAUCACUUGUUAGGUCUAGAAUUGAGUGUUUUUGAGUUAGUUUUGAGUUUAUAGAGUCUAGUUUAGUGUUUUUGAGUCUUAUUUGUGUUGAUUAGCAUCCCUAGUUAAUCCCCGGUCUAGAACGAUCCCUACUUGCAUCAUUACUACAAUUGUCAUCAAUAGGGUUUAAUUUAUGUGUCAACUUAAUUUUCACAUCAGGUUAAGAAAGAAUGUAGGCUAACAAGGCUCAAUGGGGUUAACUUAAACAUAAAAAUGAAGUAGGGCACACGGCAAUUUGGCUUUGGUAGUGGUAACUACACAACUUCAUCUUGAAUAUGUGUUAUGCAAAUCAAUAGCAUGCUUUGAAUGAAAUGGGCAUGAGUUCUAGCAUUUGGAACUAAAUGAUGAAACGCCUUCUAAGUAGCAACCAAGCAAGGAAUAAUGAGAUCAUGCAACGACUUUAGAAAACAAUAAUGCACAGAUUUUAACUCUCCAAAUAAACGUUUAGGCUCAAGUCUCACAAGGUUGUAGCGUUUGUUUGAGUUCCUUCCUUCAAGCAUGUUACAAAAACUGAUUUUUUUUCCUUUAUGAUUACAUGUGAAUUUAUAAGUUAUAACCACAACCUAGCAUAAACCAAAGAGUAAAUCAAACUUUCAUCCAUGUUUAUAACUCUCUUUAACAGUCAUGCAAUUACAAACCGAAUCCUCAUCAUUGUGUUGGAAGGUACCCUAAGACACAAACAAACACAAAAAACUUUAACGACUCUUUUUUGGGUUUUUCAAACAUUUUUCAAAAUUUUAUGGGGUUUCGAAUUUUUAUGUCAAAACAUACUCAAACACACCAAAACAGCCUAAAAACAGCAAGGAACAACAUUUGAAAUUAUGGGUGUGAUUUUGGUUUUUCUGCACGUCAAGCUCCUCUUUCUUCUUCUCCUUGCUGCGGCAGAGAGGGUUUAGGGGAUUUUUGGAUGUGAUUUUGGUUUUAGAAGGGAGUU